rnacentral:rRNA from 1 species
CAGCGCCGCAAGUGGGAGCCGUUAUUAUUGGGCCUAAAGCGUCCGUAGUUGGUUUAGUAAAUUUCUUGUGAAAUUAUCGGGCUUAACCCGAUAGCGUGCAGGAAAGACUGCUAGACUAGGGACCGGGAGGAGUGUGAGGUAUUCUUUGGGGAGCGGUAAAAUGUUAUAAUCCUUAGAGGACCACCUGUGGCGAAGGCGUCACACUAGAACGGAUCCGACAAUGAGGGACGAAAGCCAGGGGAGCGAUCCGGAUUAGAUACCCGAGUAGUCC